AUGCAAGUCGAACGCAGUAGCAAUACUGAGUGGCGAACGGGUGAGUAUAAUGUAGGUAUCUGCCUUUUGGUUUGGAAUAACACGAGGAAACUUGUGCUAAUACCGGAUAAGCCUUUACAGGGAAAGUUUUAACGCCAAAAGAUGAGCCUGCACUUGAUUAGCUAGUUGGUAAGGUAAUGGCUUACCAAGGCUACGAUCAAUAGCUGAUCUGAGAGGAUGAUCAGCCACAUUGGGACUGAGACACGGCCCAAACUCCUACGGGAGGCAGCAGUGGGGAAUCUUGCACAAUGGGGGGAACCCUGAUGCAGCGAUGCCGCGUGAGUGAAGAAGGCCUUUGGGUUGUAAAGCUCUUUCGUCGGGGAAGAAAAUGACUGUACCCGAAUAAGAAGGUCCGGCUAACUUCGUGCCAGCAGCCGCGGUAAUACGAAGGGACCUAGCGUAGUUCGGAAUUACUGGGCUUAAAGAGCUCGUAGGUGGUUAGAAAAGUUGGUGGUGAAAUCCCAAGGCUUAACCUUGGAACUGCCAUCAAAACUUUUUAACUAGAGUAUGAUAGAGGAAAGUGGAAUUUCUAGUGUAGAGGUGAAAUUCGUAGAUAUUAGAAAGAACACCGAUUGCGAAGGCAGCUUUCUGGAUCAUUACUGACACUGAGGAGCGAAAGCAUGGGUAGCGAAGAGGAUUAGAUACCCUCGUAGUCCAUGCCGUAAACGAUGUGUGCUAGACGUUGGAAAUUUAGUUUUCAGUGUCGCAGCAAAAGCGUUAAGCACACCGCCUGGGGAGUACGACCGCAAGGUUAAAACUCAAAUGAAUUGACGGGGACCCGCACAAGUAGUGGAGCAUGUGGUUUAAUUCGAAGAUACGCGCAGAACCUUACCAACACUUGACAUGUUCGUCGCGACUCUAGAGAUUAGAGUUUUCGGUUCGGCCGGACGAAACACAGGUGCUGCAUGGCUGUCGUCAGCUCGUGUCGUGAGAUGUUGGGUUAAGUCCCGCAACGAGCGCACCC
rnacentral:rRNA from 1 species